UACGGAGGAUGCGAGCGUUAUCCGGAUUUACUGGGUGUAAAGGGAGCGUAGGCGGCCCUGUAAGUCUGAUGUGAAAAUUUGGGGCUCAACCCCAAACGUGCAUUGGAAACUGCAGGGCUUGAGUGCCGGAGAGGCAGGCGGAAUUCCUAGUGUAGCGGUGAAAUGCGUAGAUAUUAGGAGGAACACCAGUGGCGAAGGCGGCCUGCUGGACGGUAACUGACGCUGAGGCUCGAAAGCGUGGGGAGCAAACAGG
rnacentral:rRNA from 1 species